rnacentral:rRNA from 1 species
CAUAUCAAUAAGCGGAGGAAAAGAAACUAACAAGGAUUCCCCUAGUAACGGCGAGUGAAGCGGGAAGAGCUCAAAUUUGUAAUCUGGCACUUUCAGUGUCCGAGUUGUAAUCUCGAGAAGUGUUUUCCGCGCCGGACCGCAUACAAGUCUGUUGGAAUACAGCGUCAUAGUGGUGAGAACCCCGUAACUGAUGCGGAUGCCCGGUGCUUUGUGAUACACUUUCGAAGAGUCGAGUUGUUUGGGAAUGCAGCUCAAAUUGGGUGGUAAAUUCCAUCUAAAGCUAAAUAUUGGCGAGAGACCGAUAGCGAACAAGUACCGUGAGGGAAAGAUGAAAAGCACUUUGGAAAGAGAGUUAACAGUACGUGAAAUUGUUGGAAGGGAAACGCUUGAAGUCAGACUUGCUAUUCGGAAUUCAGCCGCAAGGUGUACUUUUCGAUUCGCAGGCCAGCAUCAGUUUUCGGGGAUGGAAAAGGGCAGAGAGAAGG